CAUGGUUUUAGCUGGGGUAGAGUGAAUUUUCUUCACUAUAGCUGCUGGUACAGUGCUGUGCUUUGGACUCAGUAUGAAAAUAAUGUUGAUAACACACCGAUAUCUUAGUUUUGUUGCUAAGUAGUGCUUACACUAGUCAAGGACUUUUUCAGCUUCCCAUGUUCUGCCG